UUCGGUUUGAGGUCAGUUUGUGUUUGAGGUUCAGUUUGAGGUUCAGUUUGAGGUUCAGUUUGAGGUUCAGUUUGAGGUUUAGUUUGAGGUUCAGCUUGAGGUUCAGUUUGAGGUUCAGUUUGAGGUUGUGUUUGAGGUUCAGUUUGUGUUUGAGGUUCAGUUUGAGGUUCAGUUUGAGGUUCAGUUUGUGUUUGAGGUUCAGUUUGAGGUUCAGUUUGAGGUUCAGUUUGUGUUUGAGGUUCAGUUUGAGGUUCAGUUUGAGGUUCAGUUUGUGUUUGAGGUUCAGAUUGAGGUUCAGUUUGAGGUUCAGAUUGAGGUUCAGUCUGAGGUUGUACUUGAGUUUUGUCUUGGUGUUUGUGAGUGUCCAUCCUCCUCUCCCCCCUCCUGCUCCUCCAGCCUGCAGCAGAGGAACGCUGAGCUGACCUCCUCCCUGGAAGAAGAGCGCCGCCGUGUGGCCGCCCUGGAGGCGUGUCUGAGGAGCGCUGGCCGCAGCCACGACCAACCCCCCCCCGACCAGAACACAAUACUGUGACACAUCACCCAGCGGCCAACUUGGAUGGCCAUCUCGGGCGGCCAUCUUGAAUGGCCAUCUCGGGCAGCCAUCUUGGAUGGCCAUCUCGGGCGGCCAUCUUGGAUGGCCAUCUCGGGCGGCCAUCUCGGUGCUCAACGGUACCUGGGUGGAGGAAAUCAAAGCAGAACACAUCCAGUUAGCUCCACCCAGCUCCACGUAGAACCAAGAUGGCCGCCUGUCAGGGAUGGCUCGUUCUCACGGGAACCUGAACGCCGUUCUUUAAAACACAAUUACAAUUACAAUUAGGGCAUUUAGCAGACGCUUUUAUCCAAAGCGACUGACAUCGGUUAAUACACACAUUGACACACCGACGGUCAGAGUCAACCAUGCAAGGCGACAGCCAGCUCGUCAGAAGCAGUUAGGGUUAAGUGUCUCGCUCAGGGACACAUCAACACUCAGCUAGGAGGAGCUGGGGAUCGAACCAGCAACUAGCUCUCCUCCUGAGCUAAGCCCGACCCCCCCGACCCCUCCACACGGUUGCUGAGUUACGAGUGCGUGUAAGGCCUGUAUUGCCCAAUGUUUAUCAUGUUAUUUUUAUUAUUAUGUUAAGAGAUUCACAUUGAGGACCACCACUGUUUUAUCACCUUGCUCACAGACAGACUAUGCUUUUCCUCAGCAUCUUAAAAUAUUUUAGUAUCGAAUGUAUCAAAAUUACAGUAUCGAAUGUCAAGUAAUUUAAAAUGUUUUGUGCCAUGAAUAAAGUUCAACAAACCUCUUUAACCACUGAAAGCUGCGGGAUCCAUGUCCACAUACUGGGCUGCCCUCUCCCAGGUCCUCAUAAGACGUACCAGUGUUGGUGUGGGGGGUCAAAGGUCGAAUGGCGUUCUGUGAUGUCAUGUUAUUGUUUCUUCUAGUAGAGUACAGUUUCUGUCUGGGAGCGGCUGAGCGAGUCAUAACGAACACUCCUGGAAGACCACUAGGAGAAAUAGGCAAUAUGAUCUGUCAACUGAUGUAAGUAGUAGUCAUAACCCUAACCCUAACCCUACAUGAUGUGAGCGAGGCUGUGAGGGAAACAGAAGGCCACAUGGCCAGAGAGGAAAACAACAGGGGAAGAGGAGGGAGAACCAGAGAUAAGAGGAUUGUCCGAGAACCGUCGUGGAAAUAGUUGGGAUGCCUUCACCACCUAAGGCAAAGAACAGACAACCCUAUGGUCCCAUUGUGUGUGGUAGCCAUACACACUCAAAGACACACACAAGGACACACACACACACACGAGAUAGCUGCUCGUCCGUUCAGUUUGUG
ensembl:lncRNA